AGAGGGAGGAUGGAUAAUUGUGAGCCACUCAUAUUUUUAAUUAUUAUUUAUAACUUGAUAAAUAUUUUUUUUUUAUGAAGAUGGAUAGUUUAUACAAUUCUAGUAUGGGUACAUCCAAUAAAAUCAGAAAAUAAAAUAUCUCGAGAGCUCUCAAAACAAUCAUCACAUCGAUCCAAAUGACGUAGUACCGCACUACGAAGGAAAUAACCCAA
rnacentral:lncRNA from 1 species